UACGGAGGGUGCGAGCGUUGUCCGGAAUCACUGGGCGUAAAGGGCGCGUAGGCGGCGAGGAUAGUCAACGGUGAAAGCUUGGGGCUCAACCCCGAGUCGGCCGUCGAUACUUCCUUGCUUGAGCACUGUAGAGGCAGAUGGAAUUCCGGGUGUAGCGGUGGAAUGCGUAGAGAUCCGGAAGAACACCGGUGGCGAAGGCGGUCUGCUGGGCAGUAGCUGACGCUGAGGCGCGACAGCGUGGGGAGCAAACAGG
rnacentral:rRNA from 1 species